AGACAAAAUGGCGUUAUCUUUUAACACAUGGAAGUAGAGAGAACUCAAUCACUCAUUCAGAACACCACCAAGCUGGUUGGAGAUUUCUUCUCCUGAGGUUGCUGUUGGAAUCCACAAAGACAAUAUUGAUCAUGUUCUAAAACAUAUCAUCUUAUGUCACGGCGUUGGUUUGCCCAUGCUUCUCCUACUCUUUUCAAUGCAAGGACACCAAGGCCUCAAUUGAGUAGAGGCUUCCAUGUGUGCAUGAUAGAGGACAAUAUUGAAGGAAUAUACGACACUUUGAAGGAGUGUGCUGUUAUUAGUAAAUCUGCUGGAGGAAUUGGAGUUUCUGUACACAACAUCGAUGCCACUAGUCUUAGCUUUGAAGGAUCUUUCUCUGGAUGGAACACUGGCUCCUGAAAUUUGUAAUCUUUUG